rfam:Methylobacterium sp. 4-46, complete genome.
GGGAGGUUGGCGGGGGACGUUUCACUCGCCAACCGGGUCAGGUCCGGAAGGAAGCAGCCCUAACGAGAACGAGCGGGUUCUCGUCCAGCCUCCCACC